rnacentral:rRNA from 1 species
ACGCGAAACCUUCCUUCGGGAGGGGAGUAGAGUGGCGCACGGGUGAGUAACACGUAGGUAAUUUGCCUUUGGGUGGGGAAUAACUCAGGGAAACUUGAGCUAAUACCGCAUAAUGCAGCGGCUCGACAUCGAGACAGUUGUUAAAGCGGGGGAUUCCUUCGGGAACCUCGCGCCUAAAGAGAAGCCUGCGGCAGAUUAGCUAGUUGGUAAGGUAAUGGCUUACCAAGGCGACGAUCUGUAACCGGCCUGAGAGGGCGGUCGGUCACACUGACACUGACAUACGGGUCAGACUCCUACGGGAGGCAGCAGUCGGGAAUUUUGGGCAAUGGGCGAAAGCCUGACCCAGCAACGCCGCGUGAAGGAUGAAAUUUUUCGGAAUGUAAACUUCGCAAGAACGGGAAGAAUAAGUAGAAGAUAAUACCUUCUAUGAUGACGGUACCGUUUGUAAGCUCCGGCUAACUCCGUGCCAGCAGCCGCGGUAAUACGGGGGGAGCAAGCGUUGUUCGGAUUUACUGGGCGUAAAGGGCGCGUAGGCGGUCGUGACAAGUCACUUGUGAAAUCUCCGGGCUUAACUCGGAACGGUCAAGUGAUACUGUCGGACUAGAGUACAGAAGGGGCAACUGGAAUUCUCGGUGUAGCGGUGAAAUGCGUAGAUAUCGAGAGGAACACCUGCGGCGAAGGCGGGUUGCUGGGCUGAUACUGACGCUGAGGCGCGAAAGCCAGGGGAGCGAACGGGAUUAGAUACCCCGGUAGUCCUGGCCUUAAAC